rnacentral:rRNA from 1 species
UACGUAGGGGCCUAGCGUUGUCCGGAUUUAUUGGGCGUAAAGAGCUCGUAGGCGGUUUGUCGCGUCUGCUGUGAAAACUCGGGGCUUAACUCCGGGCCUGCAGUGGGUACGGGCAGACUAGAGUGCGGUAGGGGAGACUGGAAUUCCUGGUGUAGCGGUGAAAUGCGCAGAUAUCAGGAGGAACACCGGUGGCGAAGGCGGGUCUCUGGGCCGUAACUGACGCUGAGGAGCGAAAGUGUGGGGAGCGAACAGG